GGCCCGGUGGUGAAGGGGUAACACGAUGAUCUGCAAAAUCAUUAUGCGCGGGUUCGAGUCCCGCCCGGGCCU
rfam:Candidatus Kaiserbacteria bacterium RIFCSPHIGHO2_12_FTLL_53_13 rifcsphigho2_12_scaffold_3102, whole genome shotgun sequence.